rnacentral:misc_RNA from 1 species
AUGAAGAACGCAGCGAAAUGCGAUAAGUAGUGUGAAUUGCAGAAUUCAGUGAAUCAUCGAAUCUUUGAACGCACAUUGCGCCCCUUGGUAUUCCAUGGGGCAUGCCUGUUCGAGCGUCAUUUGUACCUUCAAGCUCUGCUUGGUGUUGGGUGUUUGUCUCGCCUCUGCGUGUAGACUCGCCUCAAAACAAUUGGCAGCCGGCGUAUUGAUUUCGGAGCGCAGUACAUCUCGCGCUUUGCACUCAUAACGACGACGUCCAAAAGUACAUUUUUACACUCUUGACCUCGGAUCAGGUAGGGAUACCCGCUGAACUUAAGCAUAUCAAUAAGCGGAGGA